GUCGAACGGUAACAGGAAGCAGCUUGCUGCUUCGCUGACGAGUGGCGGACGGGUGAGUAAUGUCUGGGAAACUGCCUGAUGGAGGGGGAUAACUACUGGAAACGGUAGCUAAUACCGCAUAACGUCGCAAGACCAAAGAGGGGGACCUUCGGGCCUCUUGCCAUCGGAUGUGCCCAGAAGGGAUUAGCUAGUAGGUGGGGUAACGGCUCACCUAGGCGACGAUCCCUAGCUGGUCUGAGAGGAUGACCAGCCACACUGGAACUGAGACACGGUCCAGACUCCUACGGGAGGCAGCAGUGGGGAAUAUUGCACAAUGGGCGCAAGCCUGAUGCAGCCAUGCCGCGUGUAUGAAGAAGGCCUUCGGGUUGUAAAGUACUUUCAGCGGGGAGGAAGGCGAUAAGGUUAAUAACCUUGUCGAUUGACGUUACCCGCAGAAGAAGCACCGGCUAACUCCGUGCCAGCAGCCGCGGUAAUACGGAGGGUGCAAGCGUUAAUCGGAAUUACUGGGCGUAAAGCGCACGCAGGCGGUCUGUCAAGUCGGAUGUGAAAUCCCCGGGCUCAACCUGGGAACUGCAUUCGAAACUGGCAGGCUAGAGUCUUGUAGAGGGGGGUAGAAUUCCAGGUGUAGCGGUGAAAUGCGUAGAGAUCUGGAGGAAUACCGGUGGCGAAGGCGGCCCCCUGGAC
rnacentral:rRNA from 1 species